GACGAACGCUGGCGGCGUGCUUAACACAUGCAAGUCGAACGGAAAGGCCCUGCUUUUGUGGGGUGCUCGAGUGGCGAACGGGUGAGUAACACGUGAGUAACCUGCCCUUGACUUUGGGAUAACUUCAGGAAACUGGGGCUAAUACCGGAUAGGAGCUCCUGCUGCAUGGUGGGGGUUGGAAAGUUUCGGCGGUUGGGGAUGGACUCGCGGCUUAUCAGCUUGUUGGUGGGGUAGUGGCUUACCAAGGCUUUGACGGGUAGCCGGCCUGAGAGGGUGACCGGCCACAUUGGGACUGAGAUACGGCCCAGACUGCUACGGGAGGCAGCAGUGGGGAAUAUUGCGCAAUGGGCGGGAGCCUGAUGCAGCAACGCCGCGUGCGGGAUGACGGCCUUCGGGUUGUAAACCGCUGUCGCCUGUGACGAAGCGUGAGUGACGGUAAUGGGUAAAGAAGCACCGGCUAACUACGUG
rnacentral:rRNA from 1 species